rnacentral:rRNA from 1 species
GACGAACGCUGGCGGCGUGCUUAACACAUGCAAGUCGAACGGAAAGGCCCUGCUUUUGUGGGGUGCUCGAGUGGCGAACGGGUGAGUAACACGUGAGUAACCUGCCCUUGACUUUGGGAUAACUUCAGGAAACUGGGGCUAAUACCGGCUAGGAGCUCCUGCUGCAUGGUGGGGGUUGGAAAGUUUCGGCGGUUGGGGAUGGACUCGCGGCUUAUCAGCUUGUUGGUGGGGUAGUGGCUUACCAAGGCUUUGACGGGUAGCCGGCCUGAGAGGGUGACCGGCCACAGUGGGACUGAGAUACGGCCAAGACUGCUACGGGAGGCAGCAGUGGGGAAUAUUGCACAAUGGGCGGAAGCCGGAUGCAGCAACGCCGCGUGCGAGAUGACGGCCUUCGGGUUGUAAACCGCUUUCGCCUGUGACGAAGCGUGAGUGACGGUAAUGGGUAAAGAAGCACCGGCUAACUACGUG